UACGGGGGGGGCAAGCGUUGUUCGGAAUUACUGGGCGUAAAGGGCUCGUAGGCGGCCAACUAAGUCGGACGUGAAAUCCCCAGGCUCAACCUGGGAACUGCGUCUGAUACUGGAUGGCUUGAAUCCGGGAGAGGGAUGCAGAAUUCCAGGUGUAGCGGUGAAAUGCGUAGAUAUCUGGAGGAAUACCGGUGGCGAAGGCGGCAUCCUGGACCGGCAUUGACGCUGAUGAGCGAAAGCUAGGGGAGCAAACGGG
rnacentral:rRNA from 1 species